CACAUAACAACCACAUCCCUCCUUUGAAGAAGCCCCUGGGAGCACAGCUCAUCACCAUGGAUUGGACCUGGAGGUUCCUCUUUGUGGUGGCAGCAGCUACGGGUGUCCAGUCCCAGGUCCAGCUGGUGCAGUCUGGGGCUGAGGUGAAGAAGCCUGGGUCCUCAGUGAAAGUCUCCUGCAAGGCUUCUGGAGGCACCUUCAGCAGCUAUGCUAUCAGCUGGGUGCGACAGGCCCCUGGACAAGGGCUUGAGUGGAUGGGAGUGAUCAUCCCUGCUGCUGAUUUAACAAACUACGCACAGAAGUUCCAGGGCAGAGUCACGAUCACCGCGGACACAUCCACGAGCACAGCCUACAUGGAGCUGAGCAGCCUGAGAUCUGAGGACACGGCCGUGUAUUACUGUGCAAGAGACACAGUGUGAGAAACCACAUCCUCAGAGUGUCAGAAACCCUGAGGGAGAAGGCAGCUGUGCUGGGCUGAGGAGAUGACAGGGGUUAUUAGGUUUAAGGCUGUUUAUAUAUUUGAGAAAAAAAGAACAGUAGAAACAAGUACAUACUCUAAUUUUAAGAUCAAUAUUCCAUUCAAGAGUCAUCAUAGAAGCCAAAUUCACAGAGUGGGAAAGGCCGCACUCAAUAAAGUUGGUACAAACAU